GGGCUUCGCAAGGCGGUUUCUUAAGUCUGAAUGUGAAAGCCCCCGGCUCAACCGGGGAGGGUCAUUGGAAACUGGGAAACUUGAGUGCAGAAGAGGAGAGUGGAAUUCCACGUGUAGCGGUGAAAUGCGUAGAGAUGUGGAGGAACACCAGUGGCGAAGGCGACUCUCUGGUCUGUAACUGACGCUGAGGAGCGAAAGCGUGGGGAGCGAACAGGAUUAGAUACCCUGGUAGUCCACGCCGUAAACGAUGAGUGCUAAGUGUUAGGGGGUUUCCGCCCCUUAGUGCUGCAGCUAACGCAUUAAGCACUCCGCCUGGGGAGUACGGUCGCAAGACUGAAACUCAAAGGAAUUGACGGGGGCCCGCACAAGCGGUGGAGCAUGUGGUUUAAUUCGAAGCAACGCGAAGAACCUUACCAGGUCUUGACAUCCUCUGACAACCCUAGAGAUAGGGCUUUCCCUUCGGGGACAGAGUGACAGGUGGUGCAUGGUUGUCGUCAGCUCGUGUCGUGAGAUGUUGGGUUAAGUCCCGCAACGAGCGCAACCCUUGAUCUUAGUUGCCAGCAUUCAGUUGGGCACUCUAAGGUGACUGCCGGUGACAAACCGGAGGAAGGUGGGGAUGACGUCAAAUCAUCAUGCCCCUUAUGACCUGGGCUACACACGUGCUACAAUGGACAGAACAAAGGGCUGCAAGACCGCAAGGUUUAGCCAAUCCCAUAAAUCUGUUCUCAGUUCGGAUCGCAGUCUGCAACUCGACUGCGUGAAGCUGGAAUCGCUAGUAAUCGCGGAUCAGCAUGCCGCGGUGAAUACGUUCC
rnacentral:rRNA from 1 species